AUGGAGCUCAAUGUUCACCUCCGUGCUACUGAUGGUGAUCCCCUCCCUGGCCCGACGCAUUAUCGUCAUCUUGUUGGCAGUCUUGUCUAUCUAGCUGUCACUCGUGCGGAUAUCUCUUAUCUGGUUCAUAUUCUAAGUCAAUUCGUCUCUGCUCCACAUCGGUUCACUAUAGUCAUCUCCUUCGUGUUCUCCAAUAUCUUCAGGGCACAAUCUCUCACCGUCUAUUAUUUCCUCGCUCUAGUUCUUUACAGCUUCAGGCCUAUUCGGAUGCUACGUGGGCUAGUGAUCCUUCAGAUCGCCAUUCACUUUCUGCUUACUGUGUUUUUCUUGGUGGUUCUCUCAUUGCCUGGAAGACAAAGAAACAGAUUGCAGUUUCUUGUUCGAGUAUAG
rnacentral:rRNA from 1 species